UACGUAGGGAGCAAGCGUUAUCCGGAAUUAUUGGGCGUAAAGAGCUCGUAGGCGGUCUGUCGCGUCUGCUGUGAAAACCCGAGGCUCAACCUCGGGCCUGCAGUGGGUACGGGCAGACUAGAGUGCGGUAGGGGAGAAUGGAACUCCUGGUGUAGCGGUGGAAUGCGCAGAUAUCAGGAAGAACACCGAUGGCGAAGGCAGUUCUCUGGGCCGUAACUGACGCUGAGGAGCGAAAGCGUGGGGAGCGAACAGG
rnacentral:rRNA from 1 species